rnacentral:lncRNA from 1 species
CCUUAGCCCCUAAGAAAAAGAGGUAACAGAUGCCGAGAGCAAAGCAUCCCCCACAAAGUCCUAACUUUGAUGCGGGCAGAACAAGAAUUAAAAAAAAAAAAAGGAAGGAAGGAAGGAAGGAAGAAAGAAAGAAAGAAAGAAAGAAAGAAAGAAAGAAAGAAAGAAAGAAAGAAAGAAAGAAAGAAAGAAAGGAAGGAAGGAAGGAAGAAAAGUAAGACCUUGAAUGGAACACAAAGGAGGGGAAAUGAGAAAAAAACAGUAGUGGCACUGAAGGGUGAGAUGGGGAGUUAGGGAGCUGGUGUGCACUUAUGAUUUAAAUCUUAGGAAGGGGCGAGCAUCUUCAGCGUUCACUCUCUGAGGUGUGGUGGGACUUGUGCUCUGAGCAAGAGCUGAUUGGCCAUUGUGUUAGCUUGGACAGGAGGAUGCUCCUGGAACUAAGAGCUGUCCUUUGGUGGGAAGUAAAGGUCCACAAACAAUGUGCAUGUGCUUUGGGGAGUUGACCUUUCGGACUGAACAGUAGCAAUGAUAAGUUUUAUUUCCAUAUUUUCUGGAGUCAACUGGGCUGGAGGAUCACACUGUCUGGUGUUGGUGUCCAGCCUUGUCUAGGAGAGGCUUCUGAGAAACAGCUCUUGGAAAGGAACUUGAUAGCAUGGAAAGAUGUAUUGAAUGAUAUAACACUGAGGAUUGACUUGUCUGUCUGAUACAAGACAGUUUUCUUAUCAUUUUGAGGUCUUACUCUGUAGCCCAGGCUGGCUUUAAACUCAUGAUUUGACUACUUUAGUUUCCCUGGUUCCAAAAUUCUAGGAAUUGUGCUAAGAAGCAUCAUAUAUUCAUAUUUUCUUACAAAGGAACUGGAUGAUGAGGUUAAUAUUAUGCAAUCGGUCUUAAUUUUUGUCAUAAGAACACGAAUCAAAGUAGACAGGUUUUGUCUAAGUGGAUGGGA